GCAGUGGUGGUUCAGUGGUAGAAUUCUCACCUUCCAAGCAAGAAACCUGGGUUUGAUUCCCAGUCAAUGCA
rnacentral:tRNA from 1 species